GACAGAGGUGCCGAGCGUUAGGCGGAAUCACUGGGCUUAAAGCGUGUGUAGGCGGGUCGUUAAGUGUCUUGUGAAAUCCCACCGCUCAACGGUGGAACUGCUGGGCAUACUGGCGAUCUUGAGCCACCUAGGGGCAGACGGAACAAGCGGUGGAGCGGUGAAAUGCGUAGAUAUCGCUUGGAACGCCGACGGUGAAAACAGUCUGCUGGGGUGUGGCUGACGCUGAGACACGAAGCCAGGGGAGCGAACGGG
rnacentral:rRNA from 1 species